CGCAAGGCGUGGCAUACGGCUCACUAACACGUAGUCAACAUGCCCAAAGGACGUGGAUAACCUCGGGAAACUGAGGAUAAACCGCGAUAGGCCAAGGUUUCUGGAAUGAGCCAUGGCCGAAAUCUAUAUGGCCUUUGGAUUGGACUGCGGCUGAUCAGGCUGUUGGUGAGGUAAUGGCCCACCAAACCUGUAACCGGUACGGGCUUUGAGAGAAGGAGCCCGGAGAUGGGCACUGAGACAAGGGCCCAGGCCCUAUGGGGCGCAGCAGGCGCGAAACCUCUGCAAUAGGCGAAAGCUUGACAGGGUUACUCUGAGUGAUGCCCGCUAAGGGUAUCUUUUGGCACCUCUAAAAAUGGUGCAGAAUAAGGGGUGGGCAAGUCUGGUGUCAGCCGC
rnacentral:rRNA from 1 species